GACGAACGCUGGCGGCGUGCUUAACACAUGCAAGUCGAACGGAAAGGCCCUGCUUUUGUGGGCUGCUCGAGUGGCGAACGGGUGAGUAACACGUGAGUAACCUGCCCUUGACUUUGGGAUAACUUCAGGAAACUGGGGCUAAUACCGGAUAGGAGCUCCUGCUGCAUGGUGGGGGUUGGAAAGUUUCGGCGGUUGGGGAUGGACUCGCGGCUUAUCAGCUUGUUGGUGGGGUAGUGGCUUACCAAGGCUUUGACGGGUAGCCGGCCUGAGAGGGUGACCGGCCACAGUGGGACUGAGAGACGGGCCAGACUCCUACGGGAGGCAGCAGUGGGGAAUAUUGCACAAUGGGCGGAAGCCUGAUGCAGCAACGCCGCGUGAGGGAUGACGGCCUUCGGGUUGUAAACCGCUUUCGGCAGUGAAGAAGCGAGAGUGACGGUACCUGGAAAAGAAGCGCCGGCUAACUACGUG
rnacentral:rRNA from 1 species